rnacentral:rRNA from 1 species
CAGUCGCCGCGGUAAUACGAAGGUCCCGAGCGUUGUUCGGUAUCACUGGGCGUAAAGGGAGCGUAGGCGGCGUGGUAAGUCAGAUGUGAAAUCCCGGGGCUCAACCCCGGAACUGCAUCCGAUACUGCCGUGCUAGAGGAUUGGAGAGGUAGCUGGAAUUCUUGGUGUAGCAGUGAAAUGCGUGGAGAUCAAGAGGAACACUCGUGGCGAAAGCGAGCUACUGGACAAUAUCUGACGCUGAGGCUCGAAGGCCAGGGUAGCGAAAGGGAUUAGAUACCCCCGUAGUCCCUGUCUCUUAUAC